rnacentral:sRNA from 1 species
AUUCACCUGCAAGUUCAGCUAUAUUUUUGACUGCACGUUCGAUGUUUUCUUUUUAGCGUUACUCCUAAACGGUUAUCGUCCUGUCUUCAAAAACCCCGCGUCACUUUCAGCGUUAUCGCCUGCAAAGGCAUUUUAUUAAAGAUUUAAACAGGACACGAUUUAUGUCAGCUACUGGUACCGUUAAAUGGUUUAACGAAGCAAAAGGUUUUGGAUUUAUUGAGCAAGAAAAUGGUCCAGACGUUUUCGCACAUUUUCGCCAAAUCCAAGGCGAAGGCUUUAAAACACUGAGCGAAGGUCAACGCGUUUCAUUCACUGUGACGCAAGGUGCUAAAGGCCCUCAAGCAGAAAAUAUCGUUGCGCUGUAAUUUUUACUGCAACGGAUACAAAAAAGCCCCGACUUUCGGGGCUUUUUUUUG